GAUGAACGCUGGCGGCGUGCCUAAUACAUGCAAGUCGAGCGAACCUCUUCGGAGGUUAGCGGCGGACGGGUGAGUAACACGUGGGUAACCUGCCUGUAAGACUGGGAUAACUUCGGGAAACCGAAGCUAAUACCGGAUAAUUUUUUGAGUCGCAUGACUCGAAAUGGAAAGACGGCUUCGGCUGUCACUUACAGAUGGACCCGCGUCGCAUUAGCUAGUUGGCGAGGUAACGGCUCACCAAGGCAACGAUGCGUAGCCGACCUGAGAGGGUGAGCGGCCACACGGGGACUGAGACACGGCCCAGACUCCUACGGGAGGCAGCAGUAGGGAAUCUUCGGCAAUGGGCGAAAGCCUGACCGAGCAACGCCGCGUGAGUGAUGAAGGCUUUCGGGUCGUAAAACUCUGUUGUUAGGGAAGAACAAGUACGAGAGUAACUGCUCGUACCUUGACGGUACCUAACCAGAAAGCCACGGCUAACUACGUGCCAGCCGCCGCAGUAAGAC
rnacentral:rRNA from 1 species